AUCAUCCUCUGUCGAAGCCCGCAUUGAUGGGAUUAUUUGUUAGGAGUCCUGCAUGUAAUUUGUACAUUUUCCACGUAAAAAACUACUGAGAUAGGUCACCAUGGUACUAGCUGCAUGGUGCUAUCAUGUUUGAAGUUUUCCCAGGACAAUUCGGUCUGUACUGUUAAAUUAAGCCCACGUUGUCAGCCCUGACUCGUCUGAUACAGGCAAUUUUAUUUAGAGUCUGGGUGUGUGAGAAACUUGGAUGUAUAACUAACACAAGUUGGUGAAAUUUCAUAGUGAAUACAGGUAGGGUUUCUUCUACAACCAUAUGUCUAUCUAAGCUAUCGGGAGAGGCAUUUUCUUAAUUGCUCUGGGAUGAUUUGUAAAAAAUUUAAUUGCUGUUCUAAAGCGAGGAAUGAAUUUCCGCAUAAAAUCGGGAGAAUUGGUCCUAGUGGAUUUUAAAAUCUCCCAGUAAUUUUUCAGUUUCGAGCUUUAUAAAGUUAAAGCAAAAAUUUGGUGCUCGCAAUGUUAUAUUCUUGUGAUUUUAUGCAAAACAGUGGAAUGGCAGAAUUAAAUAUUCGCGUAAAAUAAGGAACGUACUGUCUCUCUGUGAUUAAGAUUUUUGAACUCCGUGCAAAGGGAGAUGUUAUUGUUUUGAUGCUUUGUGCAGACUGUAGCCUAUUUUGCAAGAUGAUGAGCUCCUAUGAUAUAAUAAAGUAUAGAGACAUU
rnacentral:sRNA from 1 species